rnacentral:tRNA from 2 species
UCCCCUGUAGCUCAGUCGGUAGAGCAGUUGACUGUUAAUCAAUUGGUCGUUGGUUCGAGUCCAACCGGGGGAG